rnacentral:rRNA from 1 species
AGUGAACGCUGGCGGUAGGCCUAACACAUGCAAGUCGAACGGCAGCACAGUAAGAGCUGGCCUUAAGGGGGGCGAGGGGCGGGAGGGGGGGGAAAAACUCGGAAUCCAACUUUUCCGGGGGGGUUAAGGAAGGGAAAUUACGCCAAUACCACAAUAGAACUACCGGGGAAAGGAAGGGGUUUUCGGAACUUGCGGGAAUGGAAUAAGCCGAUGUCGGAUUAGCUAGUUGGCGGGGUAAAGGCCCACCAAGGCGACGAUCCGUAGCUGGUCUGAGAGGAUGAUCAGCCACACUGGAACUGAGACACGGUCCAGACUCCUACGGGAGGCAGCAGUGGGGAAUAUUGGACAAUGGGCGCAAGCCUGAUCCAGCCAUACCGCGUGGGUGAAGAAGGCCUUCGGGUUGUAAAGCCCUUUUGUUGGGAAAGAAAAGCAGCAGGUUAAUACCCCGCUGUUCUGACGGUACCCAAAGAAUAAGCACCGGCUAACUUCGUG